ACGAACGCUGGCGGCGUGCUUAACACAUGCAAGUCGAACGGAAAGGCCCCUUUGGGGGUCCUCGAGUGGCGAACGGGUGAGUAACACGUGAGUAACCUGCCCUUGACUUCGGGAUAACUUCAGGAAACUGGGGCUAAUACCGGAUAGGAAUCCUUGCUGCAUGGUGGGGGUUGGAAAGCUUCGGCGGUUUUGGAUGGACUCGCGGCUUAUCAGCUUGUUGGUGGGGUAGUGGCUUACCAAGGCUUUGACGGGUAGCCGGCCUGAGAGGGCGACCGGCCACAUUGGGACUGAGAUACGGCCCAGACUCCUACGGGAGGCAGCAGUGGGGAAUAUUGCACAAUGGGCGGAAGCCUGAUGCAGCAACGCCGCGUGCGGGAUGACGGCCUUCGGGUUGGAAACCGCUUUCAGCAGGGGCGAAGCUUGUGGUGACGGUACCUGCAGAAGAAGCACCGGCUAACUACGUG
rnacentral:rRNA from 1 species